AAGAGGGGUGUCCCUGGUCUCUGAGAUGAAGUGGAUGGGAGGGGCGUCCCUGAGAUGAAGUGGAUGGGAGGGGCGUCCCUGGUCCCUGAGAUGAGGUGGAUGGGAGGGGCGUCCCUGGUCCCUGAGAUGAGGUGGAUGGGAGGGGCGUCCCUGAGAUGAGGUGGAUGGGAGGGGCGUCCCUGAGAUGAGGUGGAUGGGAGGGGCGUCCCUGAGAUGAGGUGGAUGGGAGGGGCGUCCCUGAGAUGAGGUGGAUGGGAGGGGCGUCCCUGAGAUGAGGUGGAUGGGAGGGGCGUCCCUGAGAUGAGGUGGAUGGGAGGGGCGUCCCUGAGAUGAGGUGGAUGGGAGGGGCGUCCCUGAGAUGAGGUGGAUGGGAGGGGCGUCCCUGAGAUGAGGUGGAUGGGAGGGGCGUCCCUGAGAUGAGGUGGAUGGGAGGGGCGUCCCUGAGAUGAGGUGGAUGGGAGGGGCGUCCCUGAGAUGAGGUGGAUGGGAGGGGCGUCCCUGAGAUGAGGUGGAUGGGAGGGGCGUCCCUGAGAUGAGGUGGAUGGGAGGGGCGUCCCUGAGAUGAGGUGGAUGGGAGGGGCGUCCCUGAGAUGAGGUGGAUGGGAGGGGCGUCCCUGAGAUGAGGUGGAUGGGAGGGGCGUCCCUGAGAUGAGGUGGAUGGGAGGGGCGUCCCUGAGAUGAGGUGGAUGGGAGGGGCGUCCCUGAGAUGAGGUGGAUGGGAGGGGCGUCCCUGAGAUGAGGUGGAUGGGAGGGGCGUCCCUGAGAUGAGGUGGAUGGGAGGGGCGUCCCUGAGAUGAGGUGGAUGGGAGGGGCGUCCCUGAGAUGAGGUGGAUGGGAGGGGCGUCCCUGAGAUGAGGUGGAUGGGAGGGGCGUCCCUGAGAUGAGGUGGAUGGGAGGGGCGUCCCUGAGAUGAGGUGGAUGGGAGGGGCGUCCCUGAGAUGAGGUGGAUGGGAGGGGCGUCCCUGAGAUGAGGUGGAUGGGAGGGGCGUCCCUGAGAUGAGGUGGAUGGGAGGGGCGUCCCUGAGAUGAGGUGGAUGGGAGGGGCGUCCCUGAGAUGAGGUGGAUGGGAGGGGCGUCCCUGAGAUGAGGUGGAUGGGAGGGGCGUCCCUGAGAUGAGGUGGAUGGGAGGGGCGUCCCUGAGAUGAGGUGGAUGGGAGGGGCGUCCCUGAGAUGAGGUGGAUGGGAGGGGCGUCCCUGAGAUGAGGUGGAUGGGAGGGGCGUCCCUGAGAUGAGGUGGAUGGGAGGGGCGUCCCUGAGAUGAGGUGGAUGGGAGGGGCGUCCCUGAGAUGAGGUGGAUGGGAGGGGCGUCCCUGAGAUGAGGUGGAUGGGAGGGGCGUCCCUGAGAUGAGGUGGAUGGGAGGGGCGUCCCUGAGAUGAGGUGGAUGGGAGGGGCGUCCCUGAGAUGAGGUGGAUGGGAGGGGCGUCCCUGGUCUCUGAGAUGAAGUGGAUGGGAGGAGCGUCCCUGGUCUCUGAGAUGAAGUGGAUGGGAGGAGCGUCCCUGAGAUGAAGUGGAUGGGAGGGGCGUCCCUGAGAUGAAGUGGAUGGGAGGGGCGUCCCUGGUCUCUGAGAUGAGGUGGAUGGGAGGGGCGUCCCCGAGAUGAGGUGGAUGGGAGGGGCGUCCCCGAGAUGAGGUGGAUGGGAGGGGCGUCCCCGAGAUGAGGUGGAUGGGAGGGGCGUCCCCGAGAUGAGGUGGAUGGGAGGGGCGUCCCCGAGAUGAGGUGGAUGGGAGGGGCGUCCCCGAGAUGAGGUGGAUGGGAGGGGCGUCCCUGAGAGGCAUCCUAGGUGCCUAAUUUUAUUAACUUUGUGUAAUAAUGCCACAAAACAUGCGUGUGCCCGUUUUCACGCAAAAGUUGGCAUUUAUAAAAAUUUUACUUGACAUGAGGAUUGGCUUAUCCUCCCGGAAACUGUAGACCAUGCGUACGCACAGUUUUGUGCACGCAGAUAUGUAGUGUUAGAUUUACGCAAUAGUUAUAAAUGAGGCCCCUGGUGUGAUGAGGUUGUGAGGGGAAGUGGCCUGCAGAUCAGGAGUAAUGUUUUAGUGAUAGUCCAAUAAAUUGCUAAUUCCUGUGUG